rnacentral:rRNA from 1 species
AUGCUUGGGCUGCAUCACUGGGUCGCGGCGGUGCCGGAGGACGAGGACGGCGAGGCCGGGUGCCGCGGCACCGCCUUGGCCGCGGCCGGUGAAGGGGGCGAAGAAGGGCAGUUUCCCUGGCCCUGGCUGUGGUCGUGGCCCUGGGAGUUGGUGCGGUGGAAGCGGCACUUGAAGGACCCGACGUGGGUGGCCGGCGCGCAGACACACUUGGAAGCGGGCCCGUGGCCCGCGCCGGACGGCGCCAACACCGACCCGGGCCACCUCCUCCGCGUAUUCUUGGAGCUGUGGCUGGCCGAUUUACAUUAA